rnacentral:rRNA from 1 species
CCCUUAGAUGUUCUGGGCCGCACGCGCGCUACAAUGGUCUUCGCAAACGGAUGCAUUCUCGAAGGAGAAUGCCAAUCUUGGAAUCUAUGCCUUGGUCGGGACAGUUGCUUGCAAUUUUUCGACUCGAACCAGGAAUUCCUUGUAAUCGUGAUUCAUCACAUCACGAUGAAUACGGCCCUGCCCUUUGUACACACCGCCCGUCGCUCCUACCGAUCGAAGAGUUAGGUGAAUUGUUUUGAUCGAUAAGAUUUGACUAUGGUCAACUCUCGUUGUGAAAUUCUGUGAAUCUGACUGUUUAGAGGAAGGAAAAGUCGUAACA